rnacentral:rRNA from 1 species
AUGAAAAUCAGUGCUUGGAAGGAAAAGUUGCUAUCAGCAGGAGGAAAAAAAAUCCUUCUCAAAUCGGUUGUACAAGCUAUCCCAACUUAUGCAAUGUCCGUCUUUAAAAUUCCUAAAAAGAUUUGUAAACGAAUCAUUGACGCGAUGUCGCAUUUUUGGUGGGGUGACGAAGACAAUCAGAAGAGAAUGCAUUGGAUGGCAUGGUGGAAGAUGUGUGUACCAAAAGACCAAGGAGGAAUGGGUUUUCGAGACAUACAUUGUUUCAAUCUGGCCUUGUUAGCUAAACAAGCGUGGCGCCUGCUUGAUAACCCUGAUUCCCUAUGUGCCACCGUCUUGAGAGCUAAAUAUUUUCCAGAUGGAGAUUUAAUGAAUACGGGUCUGAAAAAAGGAUCCUCUUUCACUUGGCAAAGCAUUAUGGCCGGAGUGGAUUCUCUCAAAAAAGGUUAUAUUUGGAGAGUUGGUAAUGGACGGAAUAUUGAUAUCUGGAGAGAUGCAUGGAUCCCGAAUGGGGCAAAUAGGAAAAUUAUCACUCCUAGAAGAGGGCAGAUUCUAACAAAAGUUGCUGAUCUUAUAGAUCCAAUCAACAAUUGCUGGGAUGAAGAUUUGGUAAGACAAACAUUGUGGCCAAUUGAUGUCCAGAGGGUGCUUACGAUCCCCCUCCCCACGUAUGACAUGUCGGAUUUCAUAGCUUGGAGCUUUACAAAGAAUGGA